CUAAUUUGAUUGGUUUUCUAAUAACUCUUCCUACUCUUGUCCUUUCUAAUGUCUCAUAAUCAUAAUCAUUCUUCUCAUUAACUUCUUUUUUUCCCACCGUAUUUUUGUCAUUAUACUGUCCAAACAGAAUAUCAUCAUUAUCUACAUAGUAUUCAUUAAAAUUUUGGCUAGUUGUGUGACGCAAAUUAUAAGACGUUCGUCCAAUCACUAUACCACUCUGUAACUUUAUCUUAUAUGAUCUAGGACAGAGGUUCCCAAACUUUUUAUUGUACGACCCAUUUUGGGAAAUUUUUAAAAUUUGGCGACCCACAUUAUCAUGAAUGACCUUUUUUUUGCUGACAUUUAUCACCUCGAUUCAUCCAUAUGUAACGUACAAAAACAAUCAUCUGAGAUAAGUCUUGUAUAUCUGUGGACUCGUCUAGUUGUAAUGAGAACCAUAUACUCAAAUUAACUCUUUCGAUCAGUUUAUAUUCU